rnacentral:rRNA from 1 species
AUGAACGCUGGCGGCGUGCCUCAUACAUGCAAGUCGAGCGAACAGACGAGGAGCUUGCUCCUCUGACGUUAGCGGCGGACGGGUGAGUAACACGUGGAUAACCUACCUAUAAGACUGGGAUAACUUCGGGAAACCGGAGCUAAUACCGGAUAAUAUAUUGAACCGCAUGGUUCAAUAGUGAAAGACGGUUUUGCUGUCACUUAUAGAUGGAUCCGCGCCGCAUUAGCUAGUUGGUAAGGUAACGGCUUACCAAGGCAACGAUGCGUAGCCGACCUGAGAGGGUGAUCGGCCACACUGGAACUGAGACACGGUCCAGACUCCUACGGGAGGCAGCAGUAGGGAAUCUUCCGCAACGGGCGAAAGCUUGACGGAGCAACGCCGCGUGAGUGAUGAAGGUCUUCGGAUCGUAAAACUCUGUUAUUAGGGAAGAACAAAUGUGCAAGUAACUAUGCACGUCUUGACGGUACCUAAUCAGAAAGCCACGGCUAACUACGUG